rnacentral:misc_RNA from 1 species
AAGUCGUAACAAGGUUUCCGUAGGUGAACCUGCGGAAGGAUCAUUAAAGAAUUCGGCUUCGCGGCCAAGUUCUCACCCUUUGUAUACCGAAACAUGUUGCUUUGGCAUGGCCCCUUGUCAGUUUCCUGCCGGCCUGCCAGAGGGUUAUAAACCCUAGAAUCUCUGCUGUCUGAGUACUAUGCAAUAGUUAAAA